rnacentral:rRNA from 1 species
AAUCAACGCUGGCGGCGUGCCUCAGACAUGCAAGUCGAACGAUUAAAGCUCUCUUCGGAGAGUGCAUAGAGUGGCGCACGGGUGAGUAACACGUAAGUAAUCUACCUUCGAGUGGGGAAUAACGUCCGGAAACGGACGCUAAUACCGCAUAAUGCAGCGGCAUCGCAAGAUGACAGUUGUUAAAGGAGCAAUUCGCUUGAAGAGGAGCUUGCGGCAGAUUAGCUAGUUGGUAAGGUAAUGGCUUACCAAGGCUACGAUCUGUAACCGGUCUAAGGGGACGGUCGGUCACACUGACACUGAAUAACGGGUCAGACUCCGUACGGGAGGCAGCAGUCGGGAAUUUUGGGCAAUGGGCGAAAGCCUGACCCAGCAACGCCGCGUGAAGGAUGAAGUAUUUCGGUA